rnacentral:rRNA from 1 species
UUAUGACCGUGCAAAGGUAGCAUAAUCAUUAGUUUUUUAAUUGAAGGCUAGAAUGAAUGGUUGAACAAGAAAUAAUCUGUCUUAAAUUAAUAUAUUGAAUUUAACUUUUAAGUGAAAAGGCUUAAAUAAUCUGGAGGGACGAUAAGACCCUAUAAAACUUUAUAUUUAUAAUAUAGUAGUUAGUUUUAUUUAAGGGUAUUAUUUUAGAGUAUUUGGUUGGGGUGACAAGGAUAAAAUAUUAAAUAACUGUCUUUUUUUUUUUACAGUGAUGUUUGGUUUAAUGAUCCUAAAAGGGAUUAAAGAUUAAGUUACUUUAGGGAUAACAGCGUAAUUUUCUUUAAGAGUUCUUAUCGACAAGAAAGUUUGCGACCUCGAUGUUGAAUUAA